rnacentral:lncRNA from 1 species
GAAAAUUUAGGAACAUUUGAGCAAGUCUUAUCUUGCUCAUGAAAAAGAAAGUAUUGCAGUAGGCUCAUGGUGUUAGUUACAUCACCCAGAACCAAACUUGCAGAAACCAGGUAACAUUUUAAAACAGUGUUAGAUAUUUCUUUCCAUAGUCUUCCUCCUGCUCCCCAGCAGCCCCAGGGCUGGAUGAGCCAUGUUUUCCACAGCUCAGUGCAAUCUGAGGAACAAAGCUGCAUGUUGCUCUUUUCUGUGCUGAGGGUGCAGGUGUUUGCCUUCAGCUGCUGGACACUGGGAAAUAACAUCCAGUGCUAGGCAGUUUGCAGUAACUUGCAAGAGCUGGCUGCUUGGCGUCUGUAUUGAUAAAUCAAGUGAAACUGGGUUUAUUUUUUGAUUUAAUGACUGGUCCUUUUUCUCCUUUGGUUUUCUUGCUGCGUUUUCCCCCUUAGUGAGAGCAGUGCCACAUCCAGAGCUGUGGGGUUAAUGAAGCAGUGUUCACAUUGCUGGGGGUCAGCCUUUCCACUCUCUUUUUCUGAUGUGCUUUAACCCUGUCACAGGAGGGCCUGCUGUCCCAGUUGGGUGGGAGCUGUUCAAUCCCUGCUUUUCCUGCAGAUGUGUCAUUUGUGCAGCAAAUCAUACAGAGGCUUAUUGCUUUUAAACACAGCGUGUGGCCUUCAUAACAAGAGCAUUUAAGGAAAAGUUGUUCUGUUUUGCUUUUGUUUUUUUUUUUAAGUUGCAUGUCAGGUGUAUCUUUGCAGCCACCUCCUGGUUCCCCAUUCAGACCACUGCAGCAGAACUGCUGUGUGAGUUGUCCAAGCCAUCCUCAUGCUGCUAUAAUGGGUGAAAGACAAGAAAUGCAGAGUUCAGCCUCAAGCUUUCUCUCUCCUGCAAAGCUUUCCACAGGAGACUGGAAUGAGCAAAAAAUAAAGGACUGAACCCCCACAUCUGGAAAAUUUUCUGCUAUCUUGCCUCCAUAAAAAGGAAGCUCAGCUACAUUUUCUUCUUUUGGUUCCUAUGGUGAGUGCAUCACUGUUUGUAUCAAGGAAAAC